UGGCCCAGGGCCCACCACAACCCAUCCCUCAAAGUCUCCUUGGCUGAGGAGACACAUUCCUCCUCACUGCAGACGCCAGCGCGAGACGUGCUCUCCUCCUGACCACAGCCCCACCCGGCCCCUGUUGUGUGUCAUAUAGAUGAUAGAUCGAUGAAUCCAUCUCUUCUUUUUGCUCAGACAUUUGAAGGAAAUGGGAUUCUGGAAUUUGUGCCCCAAUUGCUGACUUGGCAAUGUGAAAGAAAGGAAGAUCUCCAGGACCACACUGCCUCAGCUGCCUGAUGAAUGCCAAGUUCUGCCCAUGACACCCACAAAGCUGGAGCCAGCAUCCAGACACCAAGAUUUCGCCUAUGUUGAUGCAAGAAAAAAAAAAAUAAAGCCCAAAUCAAAUUAAAAAUUAAG